AAAAAGUUAGUUUAAUAAAAACAUAAAUUUGUCAAAUUUAAAAUAAUUUAUGAUUACUUUUUA
rnacentral:tRNA from 1 species